rnacentral:rRNA from 1 species
GAUGAACGCUAGCGGGAUGCCUAACACAUGCAAGCCGAGCGGAAUGGUUUCUUCGGUGAUGCGAGGGCGGCGUACGGGUGCGUAACACGUGUGCAACCUGCCUUUAUCUGUGGGAUAGCCUUUCGAAAGGAAGAUUAGUACUACAUAAUAUAUUGAACGGCAUCGUUUAAUAUUUAAAGCUCCGGCGGGUAGAGAUGGGAACGAGCAAGAGUAGCUAGUUGGUGAGGUAACGGCUCACCAAGGCGAUGAUCUUUAGGGGGCCUGAGAGGGUGAUCCCCCACACUGGUACUGAGACACGGACCAGACUCCUACGCGAGGGAGCAGUGAGGAAUAUUAGGCAAUGGGUGCAAGCCUGAACCAGCCAUCCCGCGUGAAGGACGACUGCGCUAGGGGUUGUAAACUUCUUGUGUAGAGGGAUAAACCUACCCACGAUAGAGUAGCUGAAGGUACUAUACGAAUAAGCACCGGCUAACUCCGUG